rnacentral:tRNA from 1 species
AAGGCUUUAAGUUAAAGAAACUAAUAACCUUCAAAGCUAUAAAUAAAGAACACAUCUUUAGGCCUUA